GCUUCCUCGAUGCCCACCCAGUGGCUUCCAGCAGCUUCCCCAACUAGGAGUCUCUUUUGCUUCCAGGCCUUCCCGGGAGAGACCUCCUGAUUGGCUGAGCUUCAUCUACCUGCGGCGGUAGGAGGGCGGGGAGCGGCUCUAUGGAGAUAAGCGCAAAGACCUCUGGCUUGGGCUCGAGGCCCGCCGUUCUGCAAGGCUCGAUGUCCAACAUGGAACGUUUGCUCAGGAACCUGAGACCAAGGAUCAUACGCUCCACCGACUAAGCUACAAGAACAUGGUAGCAUGAUUUUUGUUUUUGUUUUCGGGGGUUUUUCUUUUUUUUUACUUUUUUUCCCGCCCUUUGAGUAAAUCUUUUGAGGGUACCUAGGUAACCAGCAGAAGAAGGGGUAUUAAUUGGGAGUUAUCGAUACCUGUCUCUUCUCUGACCAGGGCAAUGUGUUGACAGGGUUUCCAUAAGGGUAACUCAGUGCACUUCACCCCUUUUCGCCCCUUCACCCACCACACUAAGUAUUUUCACAUUGUUCUGCAGCCAAGCCCUCCAAUGAGACCUAACCAGAAAUUAAGGACAUUAAUCAACCUUUCAUCCUUGUACUUGAGCCCUGUGGGCCAUAUUGACCUUGGCUUGAGAUCCCAUCUUUUCAAGAUACCCUCCAAGCCACACUAUAUUGCACAGAAAUUAAAAAAUUAAUGUAAGCAACAUAUCAUUUUUGGGGGCGCCUGGGUGGCUCAGU